rnacentral:rRNA from 1 species
UAAGGUAGCGAAAUUCCUUGUCGGGUAAGUUCCGACCUGCACGAAUGGCGUAACGACUUCCGCACUGUCUCAACCAGAGACUCAGCGAAAUUGAAUUCUCGGUGAAGAUGCCGAGUACCCGUGGCAAGACGGAAAGACCCCGUGAACCUUCACUACAGCUUGACACUGACUCUUGGGCACUUUUGUGUAGCAUAGGUGGGAGACUAUGAGAUCUGGGCGCUAGCUUGGAUGGAGUCGCCGUUGAAAUACCACCCUGAAUUGUCUGAGUGUCUAACCGUGGCCCGUUAUCCGGGUCCGGGAAACUGUCUGGUGGGUAGUUUGACUGGGGCGGUC